UUGACCUCAAAUCAGGUAGGACUACCCGCUGAACUUAAGCAUAUCAAUAAGCGGAGGAAAAGAAACUAACAAGGAUUCCCCUAGUAACUGCGAGUGAAGCGGGAAAAGCUCAAAUUUGAAAUCUGGCAGUUCUUUUGACUGUCCGAGUUGUAAUCUAGAGAAGUGUUACCUGUGCUGGACCAUGUACAAGUCUUCUGGAAUGGGGCAUCAUAGAGGGUGAGAAUCCCGUCUUUGACAUGGACUACCAGUGCACUGUGGUGCGCUCUCAAAGAGUCGAGUUGUUUGGGAAUGCAGCUCAAAAUGGGUGGUAAAUGCCAUCUAAAGCUAAAUAUUGGCGAGAGACCGAUAGCGAACAAGUACCGUGAGGGAAAGAUGAAAAGAACUUUGGAAAGAGAGUUAAACAGUACGUGAAAUUGCUGAAAGGGAAAYGCUUGAAGUCAGUCACGUUGGCUAGAAAUCAGCCUUGCUUUUGCUUGGUGUACUUUCUGGUUUGACGGGUCAGCAUCGAUUUCUUUGACCAUUGGAUAAAGUCUUUGGGAAUGUGGCAUCUUUGGAUGUGUUAUAGCCCAUUGUYGCAUAYGAUGGUUGGGAUCGAGGAACUCAGCACGCCGCAAGGCCGGGUUUAUACCACGUUCGUGCUUAGGAUGCUGGCAUAAUGGCUUUAAUCGACCCGUC
rnacentral:rRNA from 1 species